rfam:Biomphalaria glabrata isolate BB02 unplaced genomic scaffold LGTN_random_Scaffold2618, whole genome shotgun sequence.
UGGCUGAGCGGUAAAGCGCUUGGCUAUCGAACCGGAGGUCCCAGGUUCAAAUCCUGG